rnacentral:rRNA from 1 species
GAAUUUUGGACAAUGGGCGAAAGCCUGAUCCAGCAAUGCCGCGUGCAGGAUGAAGGCCUUCGGGUUGUAAACUGCUUUUGUACGGAACGAAAAGCUUUAGGUUAAUACCAUGGAGCCAUGGCUGUCCCCUUGCCAUCAGCCCCGGCUAAACGCGGGCCGGCAGCCGCGGUAAUACGUAGGGUGCAAGCGUUAAUCGGAAUUACUGGGCGUAAAGCGUGCGCAGGCGGUUUUGUAAGACAGAGGUGAAAUCCCCGGGCUCAACCUGGGAACUGCCUUUGUGACUGAAAGGCUAGAGUACGGCAGAGGGGGGUGGAAUUCCGCGUGUAGCAGUGAAAUGCGUAGAUAUGCGGAGGAACACCGAUGGCGAAGGCAACCCCCUGGGCCUGUACUGACGCUCAUGCACGAAAGCGUGGGGAGCAAAC